UACAGAGGUCCCGAGCGUUGUUCGGAUUCAUUGGGCGUAAAGGGUGCGUAGGCGGCGGAGCCAGUCUGAUGUGAAAUCCCGGGGCUCAACCCCGGAACUGCAUUGGAUACUGCUUUGCUAGAGUACUGGAGAGGGAACUGGAAUUACGGUGUAGCAGUGAAAUGCGUAGAGAUCGUAAGGAAGGCCAGUGGCGGAAGGCGAGUUCCUGGACAGUGACUGACGCUGAGGCACGAAGGCCCAGGGGGGAGCAAACGGG
rnacentral:rRNA from 1 species